GUUUACAGCCAUGCCACCCUGAACGCACCCAAUCUUGUCUGAUCUCAGAAGCUAAGCAGGGUCGGACCUGGUUAGUACUUGGAUGGGAAAAAUGAAAAAAGAGAUAUUACAACUG
rnacentral:rRNA from 1 species